rnacentral:rRNA from 1 species
AACGAACGCUGGCGGCAGGCUUAACACAUGCAAGUCGAACGCCCCGCAAGGGGAGUGGCAGACGGGUGAGUAACGCGUGGGAAUCUACCCAGUUCUACGGAACAACAGUUGGAAACGACUGCUAAUACCGUAUACGCCCUUCGGGGGAAAGAUUUAUCGGAAUUGGAUGAGCCCGCGUAAGAUUAGCUAGUUGGUGAGGUAAUGGCUCACCAAGGCGACGAUCUUUAGCUGGUCUGAGAGGAUGAUCAGCCACACUGGGACUGAGACACGGCCCAGACUCCUACGGGAGGCAGCAGUGGGGAAUAUUGGACAAUGGGCGCAAGCCUGAUCCAGCCAUGCCGCGUGAGUGAUGAAGGCCUUAGGGUUGUAAAGCUCUUUCAGUAGGGAAGAUAAUGACGGUACCUACAGAAGAAGCCCCGGCUAACUUCGUGCCAGCAGCCGCCGUAAGAC